ACCCGUCACCCAGAACACGCGCACGCGCACAGAGAGAGAGAGAGAGAGAGAAAGAGAGAGAGAGAGAGAGGCGCACGCCCCGCGCCACAAGCUCCAACCAGUGACACAGUUCAACAAGCCGCCAUGUCCACGGAGCCGCUCCUCUCCGCCGGGGGCGCCGUUGGCGGGGGCGAAACGAAGAAGGUGCGGCGUUUGAGCAUCGACGACGCGCUGGCGAUGCACGCGGGCGAGUUCGGGCGGUGGCAGCUGCAGCACUUCGUGCUGGUGUCCGCGGCGUGGGCGCUGGAGGCGCUGCACACCAUGGUCAUCAUCUUCGCGGACCGUGAGCCGGCCAUGGCGUGCGCCGCGGGGGACGGGCGGUGCGGGGACCGCUGCGCCGGCGCCGCGGCCGGGUGGGAAUGGGCCGACGGCGCCUCCUCGUCGACGGUCGCCGAGUGGGGCCUCGUCUGCGGGGAGCGGUACAAGGUCGGGCUCGUCCAGGCCGUCUUCUUCGCCGGGUGCAUGAUCGGCGCCGGCGUGUUCGGGCACCUCUCGGACUCGUUCCUGGGCCGGAAGGCCUCGCUCCAGGCGGUCUGCGUCCUCAACGCCGCCUUCGGCCUCCUCACCGCGCUCGCCCCCACCUACUGGGCCUACGCCGCGCUGCGCCUCCUCACGGGAUUCAGCACCGGCAGCGUCGGCGUCCUCGCCUUCGUCCUCGCCACCGAGCCCAUCGGGCCCUCCGGCCGCGGCGCCGCCGGCAUGUCCUCCUUCUACUUCUUCUCCGGUGGCAUCGCCGCGCUCGCUGGGGUCGCCGCGCUCUUCCAGCACUCCUGGCGCCUGCUCUACGUCGUCACCUCGCUCCCGUCCCUCGUCUUCGUGCUCGCCGUCAUGCCGUUCGUCUCCGAGUCGCCGCGGUGGUACCUCGUGCGCCGGCGGGUGGACGACGCCAUGCGCGUCGUCCGCGCCAUCGCAUCCACCAACGGCAGGCACGUCCCCGACGACGUCUCACUCAAGCUCGACGACGAGGGCGACGAAGGCAGGAACGUCGAUGAGUCGUCGUCAUCCUCCGGCUCCAUCGUGGACGUGUUCCGGUCGCGGACGACGCGUGUCCGGCUCGUGCUCUCGGUGUUCAUCAACCUCCUGACCUCGGUGGUGUACUACGGCCUCAGCCUGAACGUGGUCAAUCUCAAGACCAACCUGUACGUCAGUGUCGUCGUCAACUCGCUCGCCGAGAUGCCCGCCUACCUGCUCACCGCUCUGCUCCUCGACCACUUUGGCCGGAAGCCGCUCGCCAUUGGCACGAUGCUGCUCAGUGGCAUCUUCUGCACCGCCGGAAGUCUCAUCCCCGGCGUCGGCAUCAUGAGGGUGGUGAGGAUGGCGUGCGGCGUGGUGGGGAUCUUCGGCAUGGCGGCAACGUACAACCUGCUGUUCAUAUACACAGCAGAGCUGUUCCCGACGGUGGUGCGGAACGCGGCGCUGGGGUGCACGGCGCAGGCGGCGCAGAUGGGGGCCAUUGUGGCGCCACUGGUGGUGGUGCUCGGCGAGAGGGUGCCGUUCGCGGUGUUCGGCGCGUCAGGCAUCGUCGGCGGACUGCUGGUCAUCUACUUGCCGGAGACGAUGAACAAACCCUUCUAUGAUACCAUGGCCGGACUGGAGGAAGGGGAGAAGACCGUUCUCAAGUGAGAUAGAACUCAGAGGAGAUAGGCGAACGUAGCGAAAGUUGCGUCCACGUUGUGAAAAUAUGCAUGUUCUUUCCAUCGAGGAAGCUGGGAUCGGACUGAAACGAAUAACAAGUCUACAAUCCUCACUGGUUGCAAGCAGGUGAGGAGUCCACGGUGAAUUUAGGAAGGAUUUUGAGAUACUGGAGGGUUGAAUGUAGAAGCGGAAGCGGAACCACGGACAUGGAGGACGAAGAGCAGGAGUGCCGAGGGAAAAUGCAUCUACGUAUCUCUCUCUUUACGUACGUACGACUUAUCUCCAUCGUCUGUUAAUUUCUUUUUCCAUCCUAUAAUUUUUUUUCACCUACACGUGUAUCCGCAAGGGGCUAGUGGAAUUUUUGUGUUCCCAACCGAGAGGUGUCCUGUUUGAUA